GUGAAGCGGCAACAGCUCAAAUUUGAAAUCUGGCUCUCUUUGGGGGUCCGAGUUGUAAUUUGCAGAGGAUGCUUUGGCAUUGGCGGCGGUCUAAGUUCCUUGGAACAGGACAUCACAGAGGGUGAGAAUCCCGUACGUGGUCGCCUGCCCUUGCCGUGUAAAGCUCCUUCGACGAGUCGAGUUGUUUGGGAAUGCAGCUCUAAAUGGGAGGUAAAUUUCUUCUAAAGCUAAAUACUGGCCAGAGACCGAUAGCGCACAAGUAGAGUGAUCGAAAGAUGAAAAGUACUUUGGAAAGAGAGUCAAAAAGCACGUGAAAUUGUUGAAAGGGAAGCGCUUGCAGCCAGACUUGCCCGCAGUUGCUCACCUAGGCUUUCGCCUGGGGCACUCUUCUGCGGGCAGGCCAGCAUCAGUUUGGGCGGUUGGAUAAAGGCCUCUGUCACGUAUCUCCCUUCGGGGUGACCUUAUAGGGGAGGCGCAAUGCAACCAGCCCGGACUGAGGUCCGCGCAUCUGCUAGGAUGCUGGCGUAAUGGCUGUAAGCGGCCCGUCUUGAAACACGGACCAAGGAGUCUAACAUCUAUGCGAGUGUUUGGGUGUCAAGCCCGAGCGCGCAAUGAAAGUGAACGGAGGUGGGAACCCUUUGGGUGCACCAUCGACCGAUCCUGAUGUCUUCGGAUGGAUUUGAGUAAGAGCAUAGCUGUUGGGACCCGAAAGAUGGUGAACUAUGCUUGAAUAGGGUGAAGCCAGAGGAAACUCUGGUGGAGGCUCGCAGCGGUUUCUGACGUGCAAAUCG
rnacentral:rRNA from 1 species